rnacentral:rRNA from 1 species
UGGGGAAUAUUGGACAAUGGGCGAAAGCCUGAUCCAGCCAUGCCGCGUGUGUGAAGAAGGUCUUCGGAUUGUAAAGCACUUUAAGUUGGGAGGAAGGGCAGUAAGCGAAUACCUUGCUGUUUUGACGUUACCGACAGAAUAAGCACCGGCUAACUCUGUGCCAGCAGCCGCGGUAAUACAGAGGGUGCAAGCGUUAAUCGGAAUUACUGGGCGUAAAGCGCGCGUAGGUGGUUCGUUAAGUUGAAUGUGAAAGCCCCGGGCUCAACCUGGGAACUGCAUCCAAAACUGGCGAGCUAGGGUAGGGCAGAGGGUGGUGAAAUUUCCUGUGUAGCGGUGAAAUGCGUAGAUAUAGGAAGGAACACCAGUGGCGAAGGCAACCACCUGGGCUCAUACUGACACUGAGGUGCGAAAGCGUGGGGAGCAAACAGG